rnacentral:rRNA from 1 species
GAUGAACGCUGGCGGCGUGCCUAAUACAUGCAAGUCGAACGCUUUGUCUUUAUUUGAUAUGAAGAGCUUGCUCUGAUUUGAUUUUAUCUGACAAAGAGUGGCGAACGGGUGAGUAACACGUGGGUAACCUACCUCUUAGCAGGGGAUAACAUUUGGAAACAAGUGCUAAUACCGUAUAACACUAACAACCGCAUGGUUGUUAGUUGAAAGAUGGUUCUGCUAUCACUAAGAGAUGGACCCGCGGUGCAUUAGCUAGUUGGUAAGGUAAUGGCUUACCAAGGCGAUGAUGCGUAGCCGAGUUGAGAGACUGGUCGGCCACACUGGGACUGAGACACGGCCCAUACUCCUACGGGAGGCAGCAGUAGGGAAUCUUCCACAAUGGGCGCAAGCCUGAUGGAGCAACGCCGCGUGUGUGAUGAAGGGUUUCGGCUCGUAAAACACUGUUAUAAGAGAAGAACGACAUUGAGAGUAACUGUUCAGUGUGUGACGGUAUCUUAUCAGAAAGGACCGGCUAAAUACGUG